CCGAAUUGAAGAUAAAAAUCUGUUUCAAUAGAGCUUUUCAAUAAAUGAUCCCAGAGGCAAGCACAACACCACAUACGCAGUAAAUGGAAAAUGCGUAGCGAGGAAGUAAAAGAGCUCAACAGGGUCCGAGACAAACAUUGCAGGGUGUGUUUUACUCAGGACCACUGGUGAUAACUACAUGAAGAAUCAGGACUUUAUCCCUGCUUUUCUGACUUGAUUGAGAUGGAAGAGUGACAGAAUAAGGAAAACUGCAAUGAGGAACUUAGGAGUGGGGUACCCAGAAUCCUAUUUUACCUUUGUUGGAAGUGAUUUAAGAACUGGGUCCCAGUAACGGAUCCAGUGGUACAGGAGAACAGAGGCAGGGUCUCCUGAUUGGGUUGGCUCCCUGUGUAUAGGCCCAGAAGUACAGAAACUUGUGUUGGCAAUGGCUCCACAUGGGGGUUACCAUCAGCUCUUAGCAGCUUCUGGAGCAACAUCUCAGAUUACUUACCUCUACAAGUAAGUCCCUGUCAUUAGAAAAUCCCGAAGAGGCUUUUUCUUGCUCUCUUUUUUUCAGCCUCAAUAAAUGAACUGUGGCUCUCCCCAAAUUUCCUAGAUAUUUCUGAGGUUUGCAACUCAAGAUUAUUGUCAACAUCAAAACUAGAGGACAAUCUUUCCAGUGACAACUCCAGGCUGUGCCAUUUUUAUUUCUGAUAACACAUUUGGGACUCCCUAGAGUUGUGUUACUAUGUCAUAGUUGUGUUAUUACAUUAUUAAUACAGUGUAUUAAUAGCAUAGUGUCACAUAACCAGCUACUCAUUUGAUUCAUUUACCUUCGUCCUCAGGUAGGGAAACAUCUGUGCAUACCCUACUAGUUAAGACUAAGUUACCCUAUUAUCGGAGGAUGCUAUUGCAGGAGUUUAUAAAGAACCCCUCCAUUCCUGUCUCUUCAGACACCAACUCACUCCUGUUUGAGCAAAAGGCAAAUGGGUGUCUGGACAAGGAUGGGCUCUGAGCAUCCAUAUUUUGAUGAAACAAAUGUAAAUUAUCUGGAUCAGACAAACCUGAGAAGCUUUGUUAAUUAUAAAACUAUAAUUGGAAAUAAUGCCAUUUGCUCUAGAACAGUGGUUUCAGCCUAACAUUUCAUUUUUAUAAUUACUUCAUAAU
rnacentral:lncRNA from 1 species